GAACCAUCCAGAAUAAAAGAUGAAGAUAAUGAGGAACAAAUAGACCAGGUGAGAGUGAAAGAGCAAAGACAAGAACUGAAUGAAGUGAACUUUACAAUUCAAAGAACAAAAGCUAAAAAGACACGCACCUGCAUUCAGUGUGGAAAGACUUUCACACAUAAAGGAAACUUUAACUCACACAUGAGAAUUCACACUGGAGAGAAACCACAUACAUGCACUCAGUGUGGAAAGAGUUUUACUCAUUCAUCAGGUCUCAGAGCUCAUCUGCUCAUUCACUCUGGAGAAAAAACAUUUAAAUGUGAUCAGUGUGGUAAAUUUUUUAUUUCAUCAGCACAUCUAAAAGAUCACAUGAAAGUUCACUCAAAUGAGAAGCCUUACGUGUGUUCUCUCUGUGGAAAGAGAUUUUCAUGGUUGAACAGUUUUAAACAGCACCAGAGAACACACAAUGAAGUGAAAGAUUAUAUGUGCUUUGACUGUGGGAAGAGUUUCACCCAAUUAAGUCAUCUAAAACGGCACCAAAUAAUUCAUACUGGAGAAAAACCUUACAAGUGCUCAUAUUGUGACAAGAGUUUUACUCAGUCUGGAAACCUGAAAUUACACAAGCGAAUUCAUACAGGAGAGAAGCCGUACAACUGUACUCAGUGUGGGAAGACUUUCACCCAAUCAAGUAAUCUAGUGACUCAUAUUAGAAAGCAUUGUUCUGUGCCACAGUGAGCAAAUGUUUUGUUAGAUUCACAUAAAGUAAAUGUGUAGUUAGUUAACCAAUAAACUAGUGUUGCUGUGAAAUGCCACAAGA